rnacentral:lncRNA from 1 species
AACAGCAGCACACUUCAAAGUCUGCCCUCAAAGGUGUUCUUGGAAGCCAUUAAGUUGCCUGAGUUUGUUCAGCAAAUGGUGACCCUACCCUCUGCUCUGAAAAUGGCGUUUGUGGAAAAGAUUUCCUCCAGUGUUGGCCACCCUGCUGACCUGGUUAAGUACAUCCCUGAUGCUUUCACCAGUUACAUUCCAAAAUCAUUGCUUCUKUUUGGGAAAGAAAAGCCUAAUAUUCAGGAUCUCAAUCAGAAAACGUGGACCCGAGAACAGGCUGCCAUGUUUUUCAGUGAUGUGAUAAAGACAGAGCCUGAUUUCAGCAGGCUUUCCCAGUCUGUCCUCCAAGGCUUCACAUGUGCAGUUGCCAAUGAGAUGGAAAUGGAAAGUCUUCAGCAGCUGGCCAAAGUCAUGAAGCAGAAGAAUGUCAAGCUAGGAGAAGACCAGGUCAGWUCCCAUAUGCUAAAAUGCAAUUUUUGA